AACGCACCUUGCGCUCUAUGGUAUUCCGUAGAGGCAUGCCUGUUUGAGUGUCAUGAAAACAAUCAACCUUGACUUUGGUUCAUUCCAUUGGCUCGGCUUGGACUUGGGUGUUUGCCAUCUUCACGGGUGGCUCACCUCUAAUGUAUUAGCUGGACUUGUUUGUGAGGAUCGGUUUGACUUGGCGUAAUAAGUAUUUCGCUAAGGACAUCUCUCGGGAUGGCCAAUCUUCUCGACGCCUGUCUGCUUUCCAACCCUGUUCUUCUUACGAAGACAUGACUAUUUUUAUUAUCUGGCCUCAAAUCAGGUAGGACUACCCGCUGAACUUAA
rnacentral:misc_RNA from 1 species